rnacentral:rRNA from 1 species
CGGGUGAGUAACGCGUGAGGAACCUGCCUCAAAGAGGGGGACAACAGUUGGAAACGACUGCUAAUACCGCAUAAGCCCACAGGUCGGCAUCGACCAGAGGGAAAAGGAGCAAUCCGCUUUGAGAUGGCCUCGCGUCCGAUUAGCUAGUUGGUGAGGUAAUGGCCCACCAAGGCAACGAUCGGUAGCCGGACUGAGAGGUUGAACGGCCACAUUGGGACUGAGACACGGCCCAG